UUAGAUUACUCUAAGAGAGCUUUUCCUGAUUAUAAGCUUUUGUGGAUAUAUGGUCUGAAUGUUUGUGGCCCCCUAACAUUUGUAUGUUCAAUGCUGAGGGUGAUGAGGUGGGGCCUUGGGAAAUGAUGAAGUCAUAAGGGUGGUACCCUCAUGGAUGGGAUUAGUCCCCUUAUAAAACAGACCCCAGGGACAUACAUCCCCUGCCUCUCCUACCAUGUGAGGACACAACAAGAAGAUAGCUGUCUGUGAACCAGGAAUUGAGCCCUCACCAGAGAGAACCUGACCAUGCUGGUGUUCUGAUCUUGACUUUCUAGCCUGAGAACUGAAGAAGCAUAAAGCGGAGAGGUGGAAACAUAUCUGCAAAUUCUUUGAUGCUCCUUCCACCAGAAGGUGGAGUCUGUGUGCCCUUUCCUUGCAACUGGCAGGACCUCUGUGAUCGUGUCCUCCUUGCAUGUGGCAGGACCUCUGAGAACAGAAUGUUGCAGAAGUGACACUGUGCGAGAGACUUGAGAGUCAGGUUUACAAAAGCUUGAAGCAGUACCUCUGGGAGCCUUCAGACACCAGUUACUCUGAGGCUACCACAUGGAGAGUACUUGGAAAGAACAAAGAGAUGCUCUUGGACAUCUCUUGUGCAAACAACACUUGUGUGGAACAGCCCAGCUGUUCCGGACUCCAGCUGUUUGUGCCCUCUCACUGAGACAUCAGACAUGUGAAUGACAAAGUCUUUAAGAUGACCCUAGACCCAGCCACCAUCUGACUGCAACUGCAUGAGAGACCCUGUGCAAGAAUCAUCUAGCUGAUCCCAGUCAACUCUCAGAACCAGGAGAGAGAAUAAUAAUACAUGAUUGUUGCUGCAA